rnacentral:rRNA from 1 species
UGAGUGGCGAACUGGUGAGUAACACGUGGGAAACCUGCCCAGAAGCGGGGGAUAACACCUGGAAACAGAUGCUAAUACCGCAUAACAACUUGGACCGCAUGGUCCGAGCUUGAAAGAUGGCUUCGGCUAUCACUUUUGGAUGGUCCCGCGGCGUAUUAGCUAGAUGGUGGGGUAACGGCUCACCAUGGCAAUGAUACGUAGCCGACCUGAGAGGGUAAUCGGCCACAUUGGGACUGAGACACGGCCCAAACUCCUACGGGAGGCAGCAGUAGGGAAUCUUCCACAAUGGACGAAAGUCUGAUGGAGCAACGCCGCGUGAGUGAAGAAGGGUUUCGGCUCGUAAAACUCUGUUGUUAAAGAAGAACAUAUCUGAGAGUAACUGUUCAGGUAUUGACGGUAUUUAACCAGAAAGCCACGGCUAACUACGUGCCAGCAGCCGCGGUAAUACGUAGGUGGCAAGCGUUGUCCGGAUUUAUUGGGCGUAAAGCGAGCGCAGGCGGUUUUUUAAGUCUGAUGUGAAAGCCUUCGGCUCAACCGAAGAAGUGCAUCGGAAACUGGGAAACUUGAGUGCAGAAGAGGACAGUGGAACUCCAUGUGUAGCGGUGAAAUGCGUAGAUAUAUGGAAGAACACCAGUGGCGAAGGCGGCUGUCUGGUCUGUAACUGACGCUGAGGCUCGAAAGUAUGGGUAGCAAACAGGAUUAGAUACCCUGGUAGUCCAUACCGUAAACGAUGAAUGCUAAGUGUUGGAGGGUUUCCGCCCUUCAUGCUGCAGCUAACGCAUUAAGCAUUCC